GCCGAAGUGGCGGAAUAGGUAGACGCGGCGGUCUCAAAAACCGCUGGGGGCAACCUCGUGCCGGUUCGAGUCCGGCCUUCGGCACCA
rnacentral:tRNA from 1 species